rnacentral:rRNA from 1 species
AUUGAACGCCGGCGGCAUGCCUUACACAUGCAAGUCGAACGGCAGCGCGGACUUCGGUCUGGCGGCGAGUGGCGAACGGGUGAGUAAUACAUCGGAACGUACCCUGUUGUGGGGGAUAACUAGUCGAAAGAUUAGCUAAUACCGCAUACGACCUGAGGGUGAAAGUGGGGGACCGGAAACGGCCUCAUGCAGCAGGAGCGGCCGAUGUCUGAUUAGCUAGUUGGUGGGGUAAAGGCCCACCAAGGCGACGAUCAGUAGCUGGUCUGAGAGGACGAUCAGCCACACUGGGACUGAGACACGGCCCAGACUCCUACGGGAGGCAGCAGUGGGGAAUUUUGGACAAUGGGGGCAACCCUGAUCCAGCAAUGCCGCGUGUGUGAAGAAGGCCUUCGGGUUGUAAAGCACUUUUGUCCGGAAAGAAAUCGCGCUGGUUAAUACCUGGCGUGGAUGACGGUACCGGAAGAAUAAGCACCGGCUAACUACGUG